ACAGCGUGGCCUGCUGCGAGUGCCUUCGGUUCAAGCAUAACUCCGAGCUGUGCGCGGCAUGCUGCUUUGGCGCGCCAACCGUAGAAACGACGACCGGUAGUCAUGGUAACAGAGUGGCCUGCUGCGCUUGCCUUCGGUUCAAGCAUAACUCCGAGCUGUGCGUGGCAUGCUGCUUUGGCGCGCCAACCGUAGAAACGACGACCGGUAGUCAUGAUAAGCGUGGCCUGCUGCGAGUGCUUUCGGUUCAUGCAUAACUCCGAGCUGUGCGCGGCAUGCUGCUUUGGCGCGCCAACCGUAGAAACGACGACCGGUAGUCAUGGUAACAGCGUGGCCUGCUGCGAGUACCUUCGGUUCAAGCAUAACUCCGAGCUGUGCGCGGCAUGCUGCUUUGGCGCGCCAACCGUAGAAACGACGACCGGUAGUCAUGGUAACAGCGUGGCCUGCUGCGCUUGCCUUCGGUUCAAGCAUAACUCCGAGCUGUGCGCGGCAAGCACAGUUCUGAGAUAUCGGUGCAGGCGAACAGUUCAUUUUCCAGUUUUUAUUCACACAAAUUGUGCAAGUUUGGCAGGUUUGCUUCAACGGAGUAAGUGUUCUUUUUUGUAGUGUUAAAGAACUAAGUUUAAAACUAUUUGAAUUUAACAAUUUAAAUAUUUUUAGAAAAAUGAGUGCGACAAAAAUGCGCGGACGGAACUGGUCGACAGCGGAAGACGAGGCACUGUGCACGGCGUGGCUGAAUACUUCCCAGGAUUCCAUAACAGGAACAAACCAGAAAUUGGAGACGUUCUACAAUCGAGUCUACGAAGUUUUCGUCGAAAUUUGUACCGAACGAAACCUGGACUGCCAACCAGAGCUGCGUGUGCCGUCUGGCAUAAAAGCCAGAUGGCUUACAAUCAGCAAGUCGUGCAGCAAAUUUGCUGGAUGCACUGCUCAAACCAAUACGCGAAAUCAAAGCGGAUCAACACCGGUGGACCAACUGAAGCAAUCUUUCGAGCUCUACAGAACCUCGGUGAAAGCGCCCUUCAACUUAUUACACUGUUUUAAGCUGCUUCAGAAUCCUCAAAAGUGGCAGCAGUACCAAACAACGAAGGUAAUUAAUAUAUUGAAUACAUUCAGUUUGAUUAAUCUACUUUGGAGUGUAAAAACCAUGUCUUGUAUCUUCCAAAGGAAACCUCCAUGAAACGGAAGCAUUCUGAAGAGAGGACCGAAGUUGAAGAUCAUACGGAAUCUUUCCAAUCAACAUCGUCGGAGCGUCCAGCCGGAAUAAAAUCCACGAAAAAGGCCGUUGAAGUCCGCAGCAGUUUGGCGAAAUCAGGAUACGAACUAGCCAAAGCUGCCCAGCUGGUCGUCGAUGCGUCAAAGAAAAAGGCAGUUCUAAGUAAAGCGGUAAACGCACUUCGGAAGGAAUCGGUCAAGAAAAAUUUCAAAUGGGCAGCAGCGGCAGCGAAAGCAAGCCAGAUAGGUGAAGAAAAGCCCCAAGAAAUCGUUCCCUCUCCUUUGUUCUGCUAUUCGUAAAGCUGUUUCUUGACCCCCUUCCUUCUGAUCUGCGUACUAGCCUUAAGGAGCGGACCUUGGCCAUUAACCGGCUUGCAGAUGAUUCUGUGCAAUAUAAAAUAUACCUGACAACAAUGCCAGGCGAUUCGAAGAAGAAUAUCAACAAAAACAAAACGCGCAGUAUGGGAUUAGACAGCACGCAUUUGCCGAAAGUGCGGCGCGUCGUUUCGAGGCUGGUUUGCCGCGUGUCUUUCUCGGGAAUACGCGCAAUAUUGUUAAUUUGAUUUUGGUUAACCGCGGUAAUUUUUUUUUUGAAAUAAUUCGUUGGCGUCGAACUGUCAAAAAAUGAUCGCGGUGGAUUGCGGUGGAUACUUUACUAUCACAGUCUUUUGUGUUCUCAAUCCCAGAUCGAAAGUCCGUAAACCCACGAUGUUUUGUAAGGCCACGAUGUUUUUCGAAAAUUUCGAUGAACUGUAUGCUGCGCGGUAGCGUAAAAGAGAAAGCAUGCUCAAGCUUUUCAUCGACGUUUCGCAAAGCACGCCAUUUCGUUCUCUCGCGAGUGCAAUUUUUUCGGAAGUUCUGUCAAAUGGAAAACUUUUCGCAUCGUUUGCGUGUUUGGUCGUGAUUUUUUCCGGUGCGGUCCAUUUUUUUUCAAUCGUAGAAACAGCCGCAACAAGUCUGAAAUCGGUGGUCAGGAGCAAAGGGCCCUGGUGCAGUGGCUUCAGCAAAGGGAUAAGUAAAUUACGGAAAUGAGACGAAUUCCGGCAAAGAUAUACUUAAUAUACAAAUACUUUUUUCUUCUCCUUUCAGAGCUGCAUUGAGACCCUGCCGGACACCGAUUCCGGCGUGAUGUGGCGGCCCUUCCAGAACCAAACAACCAACACAAUUUUUGGUACCUGCCGAGUGGCCACCUGUGACGGAUCGGUUUCUGGUGCUGGUGCCACCUAUUCCUGGGAACGACGAAAAUGAUGAGGCAGGAAAAGCCGGAUACCGGGAGAAGCUUCCGAUGCCACCGGAGGAACAGGAACAAAUUUCAUCUCACAAAUACCAAACCAGAUCCGAACAACGACCGUCAAAUUGUCAGCCUUGGCCAGCGAAGAAAGAAUCAUUGGUCUGCAGAACAGAUCCAACAUCCCCCCCAGCCGUUUGGCCGGCGAAACCGUUUCUGCAGUUUGUAAACAAAGAUGUUUUGAAACUGAAGAUAGACGAACGGGAAACAAACCAUCCGUCGGUCGCGUGCCACUUCGUUGACCGAGGAGAAACUGAACUGCUGGUGAGUUCCGGCGAAGUUACGCCCAGAUGUAGUUCAUCAUCAAGUGCACCGCGCUGGAGCCUGUCCCACGGAGCAAGUUCUCCCGAAGCCUCCCAAGGUCCUCAAAACUGACCGCGCGCCAGAACCAUAUCUGCCAAUGCCGGUUUUUGCGUUCGCCAACAAGAGCUUCAAAUGAGACCAGAAGGAGGAGGAGGAGUAGCUGCAGGAUGUGGUCAAGAACUUGGAAAAAGUCCUAAAGCGGCGUUCGGCCAACUUUGCAAAUGACGGCACCUUGGCUGUACCAACAUUGCGGGGCGAGAAUCCCCGAGGUUCUUUGAACGCCGCGGCGCUGUGCAUCGUAGAAUACCUCUGUAACGCCCCAGGCAGAACCAGUCAAAGUGUCCGCAGCGCUGCCCAACGGCACUUCUGCUGAAACGACCCCGCGGGGCAGGGCAAGGGCAGGGUCCCCCGAAGCAUCCCAGCUGGAUGGUUCCGACGAGAUUCGUUGAUCUUCGCAAGUUACCAGGACACUUUGACUUCAGAAAAAAAAAGUUGCGUCGCGAGGAGAACCAGCGGAGGAAGAUAUAACGUGACCAGGAAGCUUCAGGAGCAGGACGAUCGCUUCAGCAGCAGUGAACGGGUUUCGUCCAACGAAACCGGUCCACGAUUCUGGACUAUUGCUGGGUUGAUCUGGCGCGGCACUUUCGAUUCGAACAGAUGAACCAGAAUCAGCAUCAGCAUGUUUAACAUGAGAUAAGUGCAUCCGGAGAAGGACGACGGGGCGGUGGCUGACUUACCGUGACAACAAAUAGAAUUAGCAGACCGGAGGCGACCGAACCGAUCCUGUCAAAGGACAGGUCAAAAUAGUCAUCAGAGAAAUCUUCCAAACUAACCUUCUCCCUUUCCAGCUCUAAAACCCUGCAACAACAAACACGAUUCUUGCCCUGUGACGUAUUCCGAUCUGCCGAACUCGCGCUUAAUUACUUAGGGCGAUCUGUUCAACACCGGAACCACCUCUUCGUUGGCAGAAGGCCUCGGCAGCCGGAUGAUCAUGACAGUGCGAGUCCCACGACUCGACACUCCCGAACGGUCACCUAAACAAAAAUGAUCCACCACCGUCGGAGUGUCCACGUUCGUCGGGACCGAUUAACGACGACCGAGACAAUCGUGGAAUGCGAAACAACAGUGGUGGCGGAAUCGGAUACACCAGUAUAAUACCGAGCUUCGUCUUGGGCGGCAGCGGCGGCGGUACGAAUCAUCAUCAAUCGCACGGAUCAAACUAUUCGUGACUCGUACGAAGGAGGCUGUCGCGGACAAACGCAACCUCCAAGGUUGGCCACCCGGCAUCAGCGAAACCAGCAUCGGGAUCACGACGAUCAUCGGCGGAACUCCGGACGGCGGAAAUUGUCAGCAAUACUCCGGCACUGCUCUGCUUCGUCACCGGAUACGACACUUCAUGAAGAGAUGACCAUCUAGCCGCCGAACUGAACCAGCAAAUCUCCAGCAAUGUCAUAGGAUCAGCGAAAGCUUCAAGGACCAUCGAGUGCAAAAAACCGGUUGCCGGUGCUGAUCAAGAACGUCCGCAGUGGCUUGUCCAACUCGAAAAGAAGCAGCGCAUGCUGCAGCCGCACUCCAGCCUCCGGUUUUCUUUACGUUGAAAAUCAACCGGUCAACCUGCUGCGAUAGAUCGACCAGGCCAUCGAAACGGAGAAACCAAAUAAGGCGAAACCGACCACGCUGGUCGUCGGUCCAACCAACGGUCCAGCAGCCAAGAAAUCGUUUCGCAGAACACCACGGCUCGUGUCUUGCAAAAUACUUCCAUUUCGCCCAAUGCGGCACCUGUCGCCUUCCGGCACAUGGCACCGUCUACGAUAAUCGAGGAUAUAAUAAGGACAGGAGCGGUGCAUCGUGCAGGAGUGCCGGAAGCCGAUCUGUCCGACAUCUACAAUCUCGUCGGUUCUGAAAAGUUCGUCGUCGCGUAAUGAAAAAGGAGGAGCAACAGCAAGAGACAAUCCAAACCGCGGUGAAGAUGGUCGUAAAUCGUUCGCUGGCCAACACCAUGGAGGACGUGUGCAAGAACAUUAUUGUCCUCGGAGAAUCCGAACGGUAGUUCAAAUCUGGAACGACCCCAGAAUAAACCUCACGGAUAACAACGCAAACCCGUCAGCAUCCUCAAGACGGAAAAACCAGAACCAUCCGGUACCAAAACUGGUCCCGACAAAUCACUACAAAGAAAUCAUGUGUCAAAAAAUGUUCUGGAGACCCGACCAGCCACACCCUCCACCAUCACUUGAACGCCAGCAGGCCUACAAUGAUGACUCCAACCACAGAAGAGGCAGCGAAUGACAAACAUGUUAAAGCUGCCUGAAAUAAAUCAACUACCACCACCACCAACCACAGAAGAACCGGAACCCCGGCUUCCAGAAAGAACCAGCCUCACCGCUCAACACACCUGCCGCCGUUCCAGACACUCCUCGAUGCACAACUCGGCGGCUCGGAGAAGAACCAUAAUGGCAUUGAAACCGAACCGGACUCCAACUCAGCCGGUCUAAAACGUUGCCGCAAUGGCCCGUCCUCACCGGGAUCGAGAACGACAAUGGUGGCUCAUGGCCAGGCCACCUCGAAUUAGGCGCAGGAAUCGGUGUCACUGAAGGAAAGGAAGCAUCAGUUCGAUGGGGACGAACACGACUUAACGCUCGAGCGGUCACUGGCAGGAUCUACUCCAAUAAAGUGAACGAAGACCCUUUUUAUGCAGCGAUCUCGAGCUGGUCUGCACCCAACCCCAAACGCCGUCCGCAACCGGCACGUGGCCAUGGCACUGCAAGCGCACUCGGAUCGAUGCCGCCCGAAACAUGCCACACCGGACGACCACGUUCGCUAGCAAUGUGAAUAAAAUGAUCAGUAUGAACGGGGUUCUGUACUACGAAAAUCGCACGGUAUGUUUUCUGAAUCAUAAAAAAUAACAAAACUUCUAUUGCAUUAUUAUUAUCAUGUCUAUAAUUAAAAAGUAUUUGGUUUGAGAAUAUAUAACAAAAAGUCUGUAACAAUAUUCAUUGUAUAUGAAUGAAUAGUACCAAACCUUUCAACACUUUUUCCCCCCUAAAAUGCUACGUCUGUUCUGAGUGAAUCCAAAAAGAAAGUUGAUCAUUCAAGGCCAAUACGAACCAUUCAAGAAAUAUUAUAUGUGGUUUGAUGUGAUAAAAAUUGCCUUCAUUUUUUUCUUAUAAAAUGCUAUUUCCCCGAACGCGGUCAAGCGGAAAUACCCGGUGCCCAGGAGCGCGCGCG